rnacentral:rRNA from 1 species
UACGAAGGGGGCUAGCGUUGUUCGGAAUUACUGGGCGUAAAGCGCACGUAGGCGGAUAUUUAAGUCAGGGGUGAAAUCCCAGAGCUCAACUCUGGAACUGCCUUUGAUACUGGGUAUCUCGAGUAUGGAAGAGGUGAGUGGAAUUCCGAGCGUAGAGGUGAAAUUCGUAGAUAUUCGGAGGAACACCAGUGGCGAAGGCGGCUCACUGGUCCAUUACUGACGCUGAGGUGCGAAAGCGUGGGGAGCAAACAGG